rnacentral:rRNA from 1 species
GACGAACGCUGGCGGCGUGCCUAAUACAUGCAAGUCGAACGCACAGUUUAUACCGUAGCUUGCUACACCAUAGACUGUGAGUUGCGAACGGGUGAGUAACGCGUAGGUAACCUGCCUGGUAGCGGGGGAUAACUAUUGGAAACGAUAGCUAAUACCGCAUAAUAUUAAUUAUUGCAUGAUAAUUAAUUGAAAGGUGCAAUUGCACCACUACCAGAUGGACCUGCGUUGUAUUAGCUAGUAGGUGAGGUAACGGCUCACCUAGGCGACGAUACGUAGCCGACCUGAGAGGGUGAUCGGCCACACUGGGACUGAGACACGGCCCAGACUCCUACGGGAGGCAGCAGUAGGGAAUCUUCGGCAAUGGACGAAAGUCUGACCGAGCAACGCCGCGUGAGUGAAGAAGGUUUUCGGAUCGUAAAGCUCUGUUGUAAGAGAAGAACGGGUGUGAGAGUGGAAAGUUCACACUGUGACGGUAUCUUACCAGAAAGGGACGGCUAACUACGUG